rnacentral:rRNA from 1 species
GACGAACGCUGGCGGCGUGCUUAACACAUGCAAGUCGAACGGUGAAGCGCCUUCCUUUUUGGUGGGUGUGGAUGAGUGGCGAACGGGUGAGUAACACGUGAGUAACCUGCCCCCUUCUUCUGGAUAACCGCAUGAAAGUGUGGCUAAUACGGGAUAUUCUGGGUCUGUCGCAUGAUGGGUCUGGGAAAGAUAUUGUUUCGGUGGGGGAUGGGCUCGCGGCCUAUCAGCUUGUUGGUGGGGUGAUGGCCUACCAAGGCGGUGACGGGUAGCCGGCCUGAGAGGGUGGACGGUCACACUGGGACUGAGACACGGCCCAGACUCCUACGGGAGGCAGCAGUGUGGAAUAUUGCACAAUGGGCGCAAGCCUGAUGCAGCGACGCCGCGUGAGGGAUGGAGGCCUUCGGGUUGUGAACCUCUUUCGCCAGUGAAGCAGGCCUGCCUCGUUUGUGGGUGGGUUGACGGUAGCUGGAUAAGAAGCGCCGGCUAACUACGUG